AAAAGAAAGUACAAAAAUAGGAAAGGAGGGUAAGUUGGUUAGGAGGGGGACUAUUCUCUUCGUUUUCCUUUUCUUUUCCUUUUUCCGUCCCUCUCUUUUUCUUUU
rnacentral:ribozyme from 13 species